AUUGAACGCUGGCGGCAGGCCUAACACAUGCAAGUCGAGCGGAUGAAGGGAGCUUGCUCCUGGAUUCAGCGGCGGACGGGUGAGUAAUGCCUAGGAAUCUGCCUGGUAGUGGGGGAUAACGUCCGGAAACGGGCGCUAAUACCGCAUACGUCCUGAGGGAGAAAGUGGGGGAUCUUCGGACCUCACGCGAUCAGAUGAGCCUAGGUCGGAUUAGCUAGUUGGUGGGUUAAAGGCCUACCAAGGCGACGAUCCGUAACUGGUCUGAGAGGAUGAUCAGUCACACUGGAACUGAGACACGGUCCAGACUCCUACGGGAGGCAGCAGUGGGGAAUAUUGGACAAAGGGCGAAAGCCUGAUCCAGCCAUGCCGCGUGUGUGAAGAAGGUCUUCGGAUUGUAAAGCACUUUAAGUUGGGAGGAAGGGCAGUAAGUUAAUACCUUGCUGUUUUGACGUUACCAACAGAAUAAGCACCGGCUAACUUCGUG
rnacentral:rRNA from 1 species